rnacentral:rRNA from 1 species
GAUGAACGCUGGCGGCGUGCUUAACACAUGCAAGUCGAACGGGAAUUAUUUUAUUGAAACUUCGGUCGAUUUAAUUUAAUUCUAGUGGCGGACGGGUGAGUAACGCGUGGGUAACCUGCCUUAUACAGGGGGAUAACAGUCAGAAAUGGCUGCUAAUACCGCAUAAGCGCACAGAGCUGCAUGGCUCAGUGUGAAAAACUCCGGUGGUAUAAGAUGGACCCGCGUUGGAUUAGCUUGUUGGCAGGGUAACGGCCUACCAAGGCGACGAUCCAUAGCCGGCCUGAGAGGGUGAACGGCCACAUUGGGACUGAGACACGGCCCAGACUCCUACGGGAAGCAGCAGUGGGGAAUAUUGCACAAUGGGGGAAACCCUGAUGCAGCGACGCCGCGUGAAGGAAGAAGUAUCUCGGUAUGUAAACUUCUAUCAGCAGGGAAGAUAGUGACGGUACCUGACGAAGAAGCCCCGGCUAACUACGUG